GUGGGGAAUAUUGGACAAUGGGCGAAAGCCUGAUCCAGCAAUGCCGCGUGAGUGAUGAAGGCCUUAGGGUUGUAAAGCUCUUUUACCCGGGAUGAUAAUGACAGUACCGGGAGAAUAAGCUCCGGCUAACUCCGUGCCAGCAGCCGCGGUAAUACGGAGGGAGCUAGCGUUGUUCGGAAUUACUGGGCGUAAAGCGCGCGUAGGCGGUUUUUUAAGUCAGAGGUGAAAGCCCAGUGCUCAACACUGGAACUGCCUUUGAAACUGGAAAACUUGAAUCUUGGAGAGGUCAGUGGAAUUCCGAGUGUAGAGGUGAAAUUCGUAGAUAUUCGGAAGAACACCAGUGGCGAAGGCGACUGACUGGACAAGUAUUGACGCUGAGGUGCGAAAGCGUGGGGAGCAAA
rnacentral:rRNA from 1 species